GAUCGAAGCAAAAUGUUUCCGCCGAUCCAUGGCGUUUUUUCUCACCAAACGCUUACCUAGCCCCGCGCUGUACCCGCCUAGCAGCUUCCCCUCCUCGCGGCAAUCACGCUCAUCUUCCAUUCCCGCCGGAGAUCACGCACGCCGCCCGCCCAUGAGCGUGAACCCGUCCCCUCCGCCCUCUCCGAUCCAAUCCACAAUUUUAAACCACACCCCCUUCUUCUUACCUUUCCGGCGGGCUGCGGCGCACUCGCCUCCUCCCCUCCCCCCUCGACACCUCGAGAACCCCUUCCCUAGCGGCGGCGCACCGGCAGCGCCCUCUCCUUCACCCGGCGCCACCUUCUCUGCUUCUCUCCCUCCGCACGGCUUGGAGCCAACAUGGGACCGGAGCGGCUCGCGCACGUGCGCGGGCGGAGGCCGAGGCGCGGCGUGGGGAGGAGGAGCGGGCGGGCCGUCGACGCGGAUCUGGCGGCGGGCGGGCCUUCCGUGGCGGCGUACGGGAGGGCAAGUCGCGUGCGCGCACCCGGCGACGCGUGCGGCCACGUACGGGGGUCGGUGCGCGGGACCCGCGGCAAGCGAGGCUGCGCGCACGGGGCGCGUGGCAGCAGGACGCGGGAGGAGGUGCAGACCUGCUCGCGGGCGUGCAGGCGCGGGAGCUGCUGCGAGCUGCAGGAGCCAAGCAGUAGGACUGCUGCGGCGGAGCAGAGGCGACUCGCGUCCGUGCAGGCGGGGCACGCACGCAGGAAGCAGGCGUGCAGCAGUAGCUACGCGUUGGAGCUCGCUAGCGCAGGGGCCCGACGAGGACCAGCCUCCGCCGGUCACGCGCAUGGAGGCGCCGCCGUGUUCAUCUUCUUCCUCGAUGCCCGUUGCCCAAGCGGGGUGCGCUGGCGGCGCGACCCACAGCACGACGCACGAGGGGAUGCGCUUCGGCGAGGAGCGGCUGUGGCGGCAGCAUUCGUGCUGCCGGAGGCGCUACUCGGCAAUUCCGACCCCUGACGGCCCGUAGUGCUGGGGCAACACCACUGGAAUCCUCACCUCACCGGCCUAACCCAGUGUUUGCAUUGAAGCGUUGAUGCCGACAUGCCGUGGUACUUUUGUAUUAAAAAUGAGAUUGGAGUUGUGGACAGACCUGCGGGCUAUAUCAGUGUUUGAGCUGAUGCAAAAUGAAAUGGAUGCAAGUGUUGUGGACGUAGCUAUUGGCUACCGUGGAUAGAAUCUGCAGGCUGCCAUGACUACUGAACCGCUUUUCAUGUAGAAUAGGGGGAGUUCAUUAUUGAUAUAUUUGAUCACCCUACAGCUCUGCCUUUGCACCAUCUAUGUGCACAAGCAAGACAGCUUUAGGAGCAGAUCAAGGUGUGUUCCAGUUUUUCUUCUCUUGAGACAAAGGCCCCAAUGGCUAUUUAACAACUCGUGCAGUGUUACCUUACAGAGGUGACGUUUAUAUGUAUUCCCCCAUUAGUCGUCUUGGUUCAUGAUGGUUGGAUUGGCUGCUUGUUCAGACAGAGGUGAUGCUGAUAUUUCACACACAAAUAUAUGGUGGCCUUGGCAUGAGUUAUUCUAAUGAUUAAGCUCAUAUUGCCUCAAGCAUAGGAAUUUGUUGGUUUAAUUAAGUCUACCACUUGAUACUCUUGACUACUUUUUGAAUGGCAAAAUUCAGCGCCUUCAGAUAUGCCACAAUGAGUAUCUUAUUGGGUGCUCGAGCUGGAUUGUCCAUUGUUCUCUCUUAUUGGUUAAGCCAACCACGUACAAAUUCAUCUCACAGUGAAAGCAAUGUUUCCCAAGCCGAGUUGUGAAAGUGCUUACUCUCUAAUAGCGCUUCUUGGUGCAAACAUAAUGACACACUACUUUACAUUCAUUCAUCAGUUGUGCAGCAGAGAUCAGAGGCUGAAUGGCAAGUUCAAUCAAUUAGCAGCAAAUGGAGACAUGUGCACAUCAAGACCCGAUGAUCCACAGCAACAGAUCGGCAGUGCGCAUGCAAAACGGGCUCGCACGGCGAUCAAAUGAACCCUUCCUUCAUGGUAGCAGGGCGUGCGUCAUCCCUGCAACAACAGGUCGGCGACCGUCAUCCCUGGAAAUGGAUCAGUGACGCGGCUAUCCAUCCCAUGCAACAAAAGAUAGAACUGCAGCAGCCUCCAUAAUAGCUGAUAUCAAAUCAUUGGCAUGCAAUUUUUCUUCUGUCUUUCAUUCAUGUCACUCGUAGUGCUAAUGAGGUGGCUCAUGUGCCGGCUUGAUCGGGCGAGCAAUCGGCUGAUUUGGUCUUCCGGCGAUGUAUCCCUGGUUGCAUCAAGGAAAUUGGAUACUCUGAUUUUUGAGUGAAUGAAUAGAGCGUUCACAUGCCUAGGAUAAAA